rnacentral:rRNA from 1 species
UGGGCGGACGGGUGAGUAAUGUCUGGGAAACUGCCUGAUGGAGGGGGAUAACUACUGGAAACGGUAGCUAAUACCGCAUAACGUCGCAAGACCAAGAGGGGACCUUCGGGCCUCUUGCCAUCGGAUGUGCCCAGAUGGGAUUAGCUAGUAGGUGGGGUAACGGCUCACCUAGGCGACGAUCCCUAGCUGGUCUGAGAGGAUGACCAGCCACACUGGAACUGAGACACGGUCCAG